UUUCAAGGGUUUGCACCCUAUUUAAACUCUCAUUCCGCCCCAACUCGUCCCCAUUCACCCCCAGAACUCCCCCUACAUCGUUUUCCCUUGUUUUCUUGAGAGUUUGAGGUGUUCUUGGUGUGUUCUUGAAGGUUUUGAAGAGUAAGAGGAGUAGAUCAAGAAGAGGAGGAGGAAAUCAGCCAUCCUUGUGUCAUUUCAACAUUUCCUUUGAGGUAUAACCCGUUUUCCCCUUGAUUCUAUGCUUAAAACUUCAUUUGGGUCCUUCUUGGUCAAUUCCCCAAGUUUGCAUGUUCAUUAUAUGUUGUAAUAAGGCGUUUGGCCUUUGGAUCUAUGUAAGAUUGAGCUCCAGGAGCUCAGAUCUGUUAGCUUUUUGGCCUCAUGAGGCUUGUUAGCCCUAGAUCUACCAUUUUGGGACAUUUUGAGCCUUAUAAUCCAUAUUGGUGAAUAUCCACACGUAAAGUUGGAAACUUUACGUGUGAUUCGUGUCCUAGAAGUCCAGAUCUAUGAAUGGCAUGGUCUGGAACCGAGCAAAUCGGUAUAUUUAAGGAGUGCAUGGCGACGACUCGGCGAGUCGCAUAGGUGACUCGGCGAGUCUGGUCGCGAGUCACCGAAUUGGUCCCUUCUUCAUGUGUCGAGUUGAGCCUUGAGUCACAGGGGGUGACUCGGUGAGUUGGGAGCUGAACUCACCCAUGUUAGGACUCGGCGAGUCAAUGCCCUGACUCGGCGAGUCCAAGGCAAUCUUCAUAGCUCAAGAACAGACUCGGCGAGUUGUUCAUACAACUCGGCGAGUCUUAGCAUAAAGUGUUCAUCGGAUGAAGAUGAACUCGACGAGUUGUUCAUACAACUCGGCGAGUAGGAUGAAGGUGUUGAAUGGCAGUUAGAAGGUGAACUCGUCGAGUCAUAGCCCGACUCGACGAGUAGAACCAGGGACCCAGGACAUUGGUUUGCUAGGGACUCGGCGAGUGGUGAUCCACUCGGCGAGUCGGGUCAACUGAAAGUUGACUCCAGCUUUGGCUUAGAGUUAAUCCAGGGGUAAAAUGGUCAUUUUACCUAAAGGACAGUUAGCAGUGUUUGAUUGAGUAUGUCGUGGAAAUUGCAGCCGGAGGACUCCCGGAGCAGCAGCAGUCAGUUAGUUCCCGAUCAGUUCAGCAGCUACUUUGAGGUGAGUUACCUUCCAGUAGCGGUGGGUCUAAGGCCACAAUGCCGACCCACCAGUAGGAGUUGUAUGAUAGAUGAUUGUCUUUGUGAUAUCAUCUAAGUUCGCUAGUACCUGACAUGUUAUAUGCUAGCAUGAUAUGCUGUAUGUGAUAGUAGUAGAGUUUGGUUGUUCGGACCGAAGGGUAGUCAGACACCCCAGAUACGUCUGACAGUAUGUGACGAUAUGUAUGCAUGCUGGCUUGUUAUGUUAUAUGUGAUCGUAGUAGUAGGGGUGAAAUAGUCCCCGAGGAUCGGUUGUUAGGACCGAUGGGUAGUCAGCACCCCAGAAUGGCUUGACACGGGUAAGACGGCACCCCAGAAUGGCCGUAUGGGUAGGUCGGCACCCCAGAAUGGCCGUACCGGGUAGUCAGGCACCCCAGAAUAGCCUGGCAGUAUAUAUGUUAUGUGUUUGUAUGGUAUGCGGUACGUUGGGGGAACUCACUAAGCUUUGUGCUUACGUUUACAGUUUUGUUUUCAGGUACCUCUGCAUCGAAGGGGAAGGAGCCGGCGCGGUAGCGGCACGUCAUACACACACUCUUCGGUUUCCGCAUUUAUGAGAUUUACUGGGAUUGUACUCUGAUAUUUGAUGGGAUGUACGGUUUGGCUUUUGAGAACAUGGUUGCAAUGUGUUAUGGUGUGAACAAACAAUGUUUCUUUUUAUUUAGACAAUGUUUUUAUUUAUUAAUGUUUUCUAAAGUAAUAUCAAAAAAAAAAAAAAAUUUGGGUCGUUACAAGUUGGUAUCAGAGCCCUGGUUUGAGGGAUUCGGACACGCCUUCGGGAGUGUUUGGACUCAAACCGAGGGAUUGAAAGAUUUUUCCAAAAGAAAUUAUUCUUUAAAACCCGGAAAAGAGUCACGAGAAAGAGUAAAGUGUGUGACGUGCGCGACCGGCCGAGCUCAAGUAAGUAUUCCCCAUAGUACCCAUACAAGUUUAUGUUAUGUUUAUCAGCUUUAUGAAUAUUGCAUGCUAGAAUAGGCUAAGGAUCUAGGAGUGAUGCCUUAUGUGCCUGUUUAUUUGUUACAGCUUAUUGAAUAUUGCAUGCUAGAAUUGAGUAGACAGCAGUAGGGUAGCCUGUUUAGGUUAUGCCUGAUAGUAUGAGCUUAGCAUCCUAUGUUAAGUGUCGUUUCUUGUUCUAAGAACAGUUUUGGCUUGAGUCUGUUUUUCCUUAUCCGAAUGCUGCUUGCUUCGUGCUCGGUGGGAUUCUGAGUAAUGGGAGUGAGCCACUAGGUAAACACGUCACACCACAUGUAAUCGGGGUUGAAUAAUCCCAAAGUGUUGGAACUGGCCCUAUUGCGCAGCUCUUGUUUGAGUCCAACCGUUGUAGGGACGGGCCUUUUACUUGAAGGAUGAUCUAAUCCUCAUCACAGGUGGUGGUGUUUAGGUGGUGGCUAACUGGCAUUAUGAGGAGACCUACAGCAGCUGAGGACCAGUUGUGUUGAACUUGAGUUCUCCCUAGGGCAAGCCUAGGGUGAGAAUAUCGGAGAGUAGCAGUAGUAGAGGGGAGUUGGUGGAGUCGAGGAAUUCCUCGGAGAAGGUACGGAUAGAUGUGGAAGGUAGUAUGGGCCCGUACUACUGAAAGCAGAGGAUCCGUACCCGAGCCGAGGAAGGCCAAGACGAGACCAAGGAACCUGUAAGUAGUUGAGAUCCCUCAGAAAGUAGCAGUACCACUAAUGAUUAUUAUUGAUGUUUUGCAGAAUGGUGGUACUUCGACCGAGACCGACAGAUGGCGGGUCAGGAGAGGGGUCAGGUUCGGGAUCUGGCACCGAGCCGAUUGAGGAGAGGCUACGUGAGUUCAUCACGUCGGAGAUCACUAGGGGCAUCCUUGAGUCGACCCCCAUCAUCUUUGGGUCGAUCAAGGAAGGGAUCGUGGAGAUGAUGGAGGAUCGCCUACGGGCAUUCAGGAGCGACUUGGCCUCUAGCCAGUCAGGAUCUCGCACACUGUCCUUCAAGGACUUCAGGAGCAGUGGUGCGCCGGAUUUCCAUGGGGUGAAGGACCCCAUUGUCGCCAGGCGGUGGAUUGCGGAUAUCGAGUCCGCCCAGUUGAUCAGCUUCUGCCCCGAGGGGUCGAAGGUGAGGUACGCAGCAGGGUGUUUACGGGACCGGGCCCGAGAUUGGUGGGAGUCAGUGGGUGACUCGAUGGGAGCCUCGGCUAUCGAGGCAAUGACCUGGUCGGACUUUGUGGCUAGGUUCAGGGCAGAGUUUGCGCCAGCGGUCGAGCUUCAGCAGCUGGCCAGGGAGUUCUUAGACAUGAGGCAGACGACAGAGACCGUGGCGGAGAUCACCGCCAAGUUUCGGGAGAGGGCUUUAUUGGUGCCCCAGUAUGCAGGUGACGAGGAUAUGAGGAGGACUCGUUACCAUGAUAUGCUACGAGCUGACAUUCGGGAGCAUGUUAGUUUUUCGGCUUGCCCUACCCUGGACUCCAUGAUUGCCAGGGCUAGGGAGAGAGAGAUAGAUUUGGAGCACAUCCGGAAACGGAAACUUGAGGAUGGUCAGUCAUCGGGGGCUUCGGGGAAGAAGCCCAAGGGAUCAGAUGGGAGGCCGAAAGGCCAGUCGGGACCGAGCCGCUGCAGGAGGUGCGGCAGGCCGCACGAGGGGGCGUGCAGGAUGGGAUCGUCAGGCUGCUACAAGUGCGGCAAGUUUGGGCAUAUCAGCAGGGAUUGCACUGCUCCUGCGACCGUUAUUCAGACAUCGGAGUUGCUGUGUUUCCACUGCAACCAGAGGGGCCACAAGAAGGCCAAUUGCCCCAUGUUGACAGCUUCAGCGCCAGUGAAGGCGCCAGCUCCAGCGACCCUGCGGAUCACGGAUGGCCGUCAGGGCAAGGCAGAGGCUCCAGUGGUGAGGAGUCGGGCAUUUCAGUUGACUGCCGAGGAGGCACGCGCCGCGCCCGAUGUGGUGACGGGUAUGAUUCCUUCCUUCUAUCUUUUAUUUUACGUUGUUAUGAUAUUGAUAUGUGCUCCGUGUGUAUACAUGUGUAUUAGGAUCGUUCCAUGUGAACGGCAUCCCGGUUCAGGUAUUGUUCGACUCGGGUGCAUCCCGAUCGUUCGUUUCUCUUGCUCUUAGCAAGAGAUUUCAUGAGACUUCAGGCGAGUUAGAUUGCCCGUUAGAGGUAGAGAUUGCCGAUGAUCGAUCGGUGCGAGCAUCGAUGGUGUUUCGAGAUUGUGUCCUGCGACUGUUUGAGGAGUGUUACCUGGUAGACUUGGUUCCCAUUCCAUUGCGUGGGAACAAGGUGAUUAUUGGUAUGGAUUGGUUGAGCCCUAAUGGGGCAGUGAUAGAUUGCGCACAGCAGCUAGUGCGAGUCAAGACCCCAAGCGGGGGAGAGUUAGUGAUUCAUGGAGAGCGGCCGCAGUGUGGACCCACUGUAUGUUCAGCAGCGAGGGCUAGGCGCUACCUUCAGCAGGGAUGCGCGGGUUAUGUCGCGUACGUGAUGGACACCCGGGAGGCGGGUAAGGCGACCGUGAGCGAGGUCCCGGUGGUUCGAGAUUUUGCUGAUGUUUUUCCGGAGGAACUACCUGGGAUACCUCCGGAGCGACAGGUGGAGUUCAGGAUUGACCUCGUUCCCGGUGCGGCUCCGAUAGCCAAAGCACCGUAUCGGUUGGCUCCUCCCGAGAUGCAGGAGUUGUCUACGCAGCUGCAGGAGCUGCUGGACAAGGGAUUUAUUCGGCCGAGCAGUUCGCCCUGGGGAGCCCCGAUUCUGUUUGUGAAGAAGAAGGAUGGGUCGCAUCGGAUGUGUAUAGAUUAUCGGGAGCUGAACAAGGUAACGGUGAAGAACCGUUACCCGCUUCCGAGGAUUGAUGACCUCUUUGACCAGCUUCAGGGCGCAUCUUGGUUCUCCAAGAUUGAUUUGCGUUCGGGUUAUCAUCAGAUGAGGGUCAGGGAGGAGGAUAUGCAGAAGACCGCGUUUCGGACGCGCUAUGGCCAUUACGAGUUUGUGGUGAUGCCGUUUGGGCUCACCAAUGCUCCUGCCGCGUUCAUGGACCUCAUGAACCGUGUAUGCAGACCGAUGCUGGACCGGUCUGUGAUAGUCUUUAUCGAUGAUAUCUUGGUUUAUUCCAAGACCCGGGAGGAACAUGAGGAGCAUUUGAGAGAGGUGUUAGAGACCCUGAGGAGGGAGAGCUUGUAUGCCAAGUUCUCCAAGUGUGAGUUUUGGUUGCGCGAGGUGCAAUUUCUGGGGCACCUCGUCAACCAGAACGGGAUUCUGGUCGAUCCGGCCAAGGUCGAGGCCGUGAUGAGAUGGGAGGUUCCGAAGUCCCCAUCUGAGAUUCGGAGCUUCCUAGGAUUGGCAGGCUACUAUCGGAGAUUUAUCCAGGAUUUCUCCAAGAUAGCCGUGCCCCUGACGCGGCUGACGAAGAAAGCCGUGGUCUUUCGGUGGGGACCCGAGCAGCAGGCUGCAUUUGAGACGCUGAGACAGAGAUUGUGUGAGGCGCCGAUCUUAGCCCUGCCAGAGGGCGUAGAGGAUUUCGUGGUUUAUUGCGAUGCGUCCAUUUCUGGGUUGGGCGCGGUGCUGAUGCAAAGGGGGCAUGUCAUUGCUUACGCUUCGAGGCAGCUCAAGCCUCACGAGGCGAACUACCCGACGCACGAUUUGGAGUUGGGGGCGGUGGUAUUUGCCCUCAAGAUUUGGCGACAUUACCUCUAUGGGGUUCGGUGUACCAUCUACACGGACCACAAGAGCUUGAGGUACCUCAUGGACCAGCCGAAUCUGAACAUGAGGCAGCGUCGGUGGUUGGAUGUGGUGAAGGAUUAUGAUUGCGAGAUCCUUUACCACCCGGGAAAGGCCAAUGUGGUGGCCGAUGCGCUUAGCCGCAAGACGGCGCCGAUCAGGGACGCCUGUUUGAGGAUGACUGUGGUGACUCCCCUGUUGGAGCAGAUUCGGGAAGCUCAACAGGAGGCUAUCAAGGAGGAGCAUCGGAAGAACGAGCGCGUAGUAGGUCAGGUUUCCUCCUUCGAUUAUGAUAGCCGAGGGUUAUUGACACUACACCAUAGGGUGUGGGUGCCGUAUCACGGGGGCGUGCGCCAGAUUUUGAUGGAGGAGGCGCACAAGUCCCGAUUCUCUAUUCAUCCCGGGGCGACGAAGAUGUAUAGGGAUCUUCGUCUAGACUAUUGGUGGCCCUGCAUGAAGCGGGAUGUGGCAUGGUACGUCGAGCGGUGCUUGACCUGCAGGAAGGUCAAGGCCGAACAUCAGAGGCCGCAUGGCAAGAUGCAGCCGUUGGACAUUCCACUGUGGAAGUGGGAAGAUAUCACGAUGGAUUUUAUCACGAAGCUUCCCAGGACCGCGCGUGGAGUGGAUUCGAUUUGGGUCAUCGUGGAUAGAUUGACCAAGAGUGCUCACUUUAUUCCGAUUCCGGAGAGCAUAUCGGCCGAGAAAUUGGCCGACAUCUAUAUCAGGGAGAUUGUGGCACGGCAUGGGGUGCCAGUAUCGGUGAUCUCGGACAGGGAUGUGCGUUUUACUUCCAGGUUUUGGAAGAGAUUCCAUGACGAGUUGGGCACUCGUCUGCAUUUCAGCACCGCCUUUCACCCGCAGACAGAUGGACAGAGUGAGCGGACCAUCCAGACUUUGGAGGACAUGUUGCGGGCGUGUGUUCUGGAUUUCGGUGGUAGCUGGGAUACCUAUCUUCCUUUGGCUGAGUUCUCCUACAACAACAGCUAUCACGCGAGUAUCGACCGCCCUCCCUUCGAGAUGUUGUACGGACGGAGGUGUAGGACCCCGAUAUGCUGGGGUGAGGUUGGCCAGAGAGUUAUGGGAAGCACCGAAGUGGUGCUCAAGACGACUGAGAGGAUACAGCAGGUCCGGAGCAGGCUUCAGACUGCUCAGAGUCGACAGAAAAGUUAUGCCGACAAGCGUCGAUCCGAUUUAGAGUUCCAGGUCGGGGAUAUGGUCCUCCUGAAGGUGUCACCGUGGAAAGGCGUCAUCCGAUUCAGGAAGCGGGGCAAGUUGGGCCCGCGAUUCAUCGGACCGUUCAGGGUCUUAGCCCGGGUGGGCAAGGUAGCAUAUAGGCUGGAUCUGCCAGCCGAGCUUAGCCAGAUCCACAGCACUUUCCAUGUUUCGCAGUUGCGGAAGUGCCUAGUGGACGAUUCUGCAGUAGUACCUUUGGAGGAUAUUCAGGUUGAUGACAGCCUGAACUACAUCGAGCGCCCAGUCGCAAUCCUCGACAGGAAGUCGAAGGAUUUAAGGAACAAGAGGGUGGAGCUAGUGAAGGUGCAAUGGCAGCACCGCAAGGGUUCAGAGUGGACUUGGGAGCCGGUAGACGAGAUGAUGGAGCACUACCCCGAGCUGUUUCAGGAUCAGGCAGCAGACUUCGAGGACGAAGUCUAAAAUAAGUGGGGGAGAUUUGUAGCACCUGGUUUCCGGUAUGUGAAUUUUAUUUGAGCAUUGCCCUAAUUUAGCCUUAGACUCGGCGAGUCAUAGGGUCCGACUCGCCGAGUAGGGACGAGACUCAGGACGCGUUUUAAGUAGGCGACUCGACGAGUCCAUAUCCUGGACUCGGCGAGUCACCGCUGCGGGAUGAAACCCUAAGUUUCAAGGGUUUGCACCCUAUUUAAACCCUCAUUCCGCCCCAACUCGUCCCCAUUCACCCCCAGAACUCCCCCUACAUCGUUUUCCCUUGUUUCCUUGAGAGUUUGAGGUGUUCUUGGUGUGUUCUUGAAGGUUUUGAAGAGUAAGAGGAGUAGAUCAAGAAGAGGAGAAGGAGAUCAGCCAUCCUUGUGUCAUUUCAACAUUUCCUUUGAGGUAUAACCCGUUUUCCCCUUGAUUCUAUGCUUAAAACUUCAUUUGGGUCCUUCUUGGUCAAUUCCCCAAGUUUGCAUGUUCAUUAUAUGUUGUAAUAAGGCGUUUGGCCUUUGGAUCUAUGUAAGAUUGAGCUCCAGGAGCUCAGAUCUGUUAGCUUUUUGGCCUCAUGAGGCUUGUUAGCCCUAGAUCUACCAUUUUGAGACAUUUUGAGCCUUAUAAUCCAUAUUGGUGAAUAUCCACACGUAAAGUUGGAAACUUUACGUGUGAUUCGUGUCCUAGAAGUCCAGAUCUAUGAAUGGCAUGGUCUGGAACCGAGCAAAUCGGUAUAUUUAAGGAGUGCAUGGCGACGACUCGGCGAGUCGCAUAGGUGACUCGGCGAGUCUGGUCGCGAGUCACCGAAUUGGUCCCUUCUUCAUGUGUCGAGUUGAGCCUUGAGUCACAGGGGGUGACUCGGUGAGUUGGGAGCUGAACUCACCCAUGUUAGGACUCGGCGAGUCAAUGCCCUGACUCGGCGAGUCCAAGGCAAUCUUCAUAGCUCAAGAACAGACUCGGCGAGUUGUUCAUACAACUCGGCGAGUCUUAGCAUAAAGUGUUCAUCGGAUGAAGAUGAACUCGACGAGUUGUUCAUACAACUCGGCGAGUAGGA
rnacentral:lncRNA from 1 species